GACGAACGCUGGCGGCGUGCUUAACACAUGCAAGUCGAACGGAAAGGCCCUGCUUUUGUGGGGUGCUCGAGUGGCGAACGGGGGAGUAACACGUGAGUAACCUGCCCUUGCCUUUGGGAUAACUUCAGGAAACUGGGGCUAAUACCGGAUAGGAGCUCCUGCUGCAUGGUGGGGGUUGGAAAGUUUCGGCGGUUGGGGCUGGACUCGCGGCUUAUCCGCUUGUUGGUGGGGUAGUGGCUUACAAAGGCUUUGACGGGUAGCCGGCCUGAGAGGGUGACCGGCCACAUUGGGACUGAGAUACGGCCCAGACUCCUACGGGAGGCAGCAGUGGGGAACAUUGCGCAAUGGGCGGAAGCCUGAUGCAGCAACCCCGCGUGCGGGAUGACGGCCUUCGGGUUGUAAACCGCUUUCGCCUGUGACGAAGCGUGAGUGACGGUAAUGGGUAAAGAAGCACCGGCUAACUACGUG
rnacentral:rRNA from 1 species